rnacentral:lncRNA from 1 species
GGGAAAGAAAGAACGAUCAUUUGGGUAAAAUCUAACAGUAGUAUUUUUCACAACUGUUAUUAAAUCCAAACUUGUGCUCACGAAAUUCAAAAAGUUGAUGGGAAGAUCUUGCUUUGGUUAACCAGCUAAUGAUUGGUACCGACAGUCUGUGGUCAAUUUGCACGGGGAGAUAAGAUGAUUUAUUAUCUUAUCCACAAAGCUAUAGUGUCUCGUUACACUUUUAGUUUUGCUUCAUAGGAAACCAAUUAAAGCAGAAAAGGACAAAACCGACUACCUCCUCAAGACGUUGCUUCCAAAAGUAAAACAGCAUUUUGGUUUGUGUUUCUCAAGUGUGAAUUUUUUUUUAAGAAUGGACAAAAGUGAAAAAAAACUCAUCUAAUGUGAGAUUGGUGGGAUUUAUCAGCCCUUGUCCCAUGGUAUAUCUUGGACUAAUUUCAAUUUGUGCUCCAAACUGAGGCUCUAUUUUCACUUUGCACUUAGAUUUCAAUUUUAGUCACUUUACAUUCUAAACUCUCUCGUAUUUGUAUCUUUUUAAGUCCAAUUGAUAAUGACUUUAGCAACAUCGAAGGAACGAAGGGCUGUACAAAUGAUUCACCUUUUUGCAUGACUAAUAGGGAUUGUGAGAUGAUGAUAUUAUACUGCUAUCCAGUAAAG